rnacentral:rRNA from 1 species
UACGGGGGGGGGCAAGCGUUGUUCGGAAUUACUGGGCGUAAAGGGCUCGUAGGCGGCCAACUAAGUCGGACGUGAAAUCCCUCGGCUUAACCGGGGAACUGCGUCCGAUACUGGAUGGCUUGAGUUCGGGAGAGGGAUGCGGAAUUCCAGGUGUAGCGGUGAAAUGCGUAGAUAUCUGGAGGAACACCGGUGGCGAAGGCGGCAUCCUGGACCGACACUGACGCUGAGGAGCGAAAGCCAGGGGAGCAAAGCGGG